rnacentral:rRNA from 1 species
CCUACGGGAGGCAGCAGUAGGGAAUAUUGCACAAUGGGGGAAACCCUGAUGCAGCAACGCCGCGUGGGUGAUGAAGGUUUUCGGAUUGUAAACUCCUUUUAGUAGGGAAGAUAAUGACGGUAUCUGACGAAUAAGCACCGGCUAACUCCGUGCCAGCAGCCGCGGUAAUACGUAGGGGGCAAGCGUUGUCCGGAAUUACUGGGUGUAAAGGGAGCGUAGGUGGGGGCGUAAGUCAGGUGUGAAAACGCCGGGCUUAACCUGGAGACUGCACUGGAAACUGGGUGUCUUGAGGGCAGGAGAGGAAAGUGGAAUUCCGAGUGUAGCGGUGAAAUGCGUAGAUAUUAGGAGGAACACCAGCGGCGAAGGCGACCUUCUGGACCGUAACUGACGCUGAGGCGCGAAAGCGUGGGUAGCGAACGGGAUUAGAUACCCCAGUAGUC